rnacentral:rRNA from 1 species
CGUGAGUGAAGAAGGCCUUCGGGUUGUAAAGCUCUUUUGUCAGGGAAGAAACGGANNUUUCUAAUACAGAGAUCUAAUGACGGUACCUGAAGAAUAAGCACCGGCUAACUACGUGCCAGCAGCCGCGGUAAUACGUAGGGUGCAAGCGUUAAUCGGAAUUACUGGGCGUAAAGCGUGCGCAGGCGGUUUUGUAAGACUGUCGUGAAAUCCCCGGGCUCAACCUGGGAAUGGCGAUGGUGACUGCAAGGCUAGAGUUUGGCAGAGGGGGGUAGAAUUCCACGUGUAGCAGUGAAAUGCGUAGAUAUGUGGAGGAACACCGAUGGCGAAGGCAGCCCCCUGGGUCAAAACUGACGCUCAUGCACGAAAGCGUGGGGAGCAAACAGGAUUAGAUACCCUGGUAGUCCACGCCCUAAACGAUGUCUACUAGUUGUCGGGUUUUAAUUAACUUGGUAACGCA